rnacentral:sRNA from 1 species
UUCCUUUUUGUCUCUCUCUUUCUCUUUCUUUCUUUCUUUCUUUCUUUCUUUCUUUCUUUCUUUCAUCAUUCUGAAACAGGGUCACAUGUGUCCCAGGUCAACCUCAAACUCACUAUAUCCAAGAAUGACCUUGAACUCCUGAUCUUAUCUUCUCCUUCCCCAGGUAGAAAGACAAAUGGAUACCACUGCAUCUGGUUUGUGCAGUUAUGACCAUCAAACAUACCACUAGGCAAUCACUCUACUGACUGAGCAGUAGCUUCAGUCUUCUAUCAUCACUUAGCAACUGAAAGAACAGAAAGGCAAAAGCUUCAGGAAGCCAGUGGAGAUGUAAGGGAACAAACUCGAAGGUGGUCCUUGGCUUACUUGAGAAUGCUGGAUCCUGUCUGUUAUAUGCAGAUUUCACCAGAUGCCAGGGGAGGGGUACUCUGCCUCACCAGAAGAGGACCUGGAAUUGCAUAACUACAAGGACAACUUGUGUGACUUCUAAAACAGGGCCCUACAUGGUAUCUUAAAAUAUUUUAUUCUUACAUUAGCUGCAGCUUCUAGAAAGUGUCUAGACAAUGCACUGCAUAAAUAUAUGCUUGUCAGAGUCACUUUAGAUUAUGCUUGAGAUCAUUAUGGCACCAACCAUUUUCUAUCUUUCUGCCUCCACAGUCCAUACUUUUCAAACACCCAAUACAACUGACUGCAUUGCAAUUUU